GGGAAUGUAGCUUAGUGGUAGAGUGCUUGCUUAGCAUGCAUGAAGCCCUGGGUUCAAUUCCUCAGUACCA
rnacentral:tRNA from 1 species